rnacentral:rRNA from 1 species
AGAUUGAACGCUGGCGGCAGGCCUAACACAUGCAAGUCGAGCGGCAGCACGGGUACUUGUACCUGGUGGCGAGCGGCGGACGGGUGAGUAAUGCCUAGGAAUCUGCCUGAUAGUGGGGGGAUAACGUUCGGAAACGGACGCUAAUACCGCAUACGUCCUACGGGAGAAAGUGGGGGAUCUUCGGACCUCACGCUAUCAGAUGAGCCUAGGUCGGAUUAGCUAGUUGGUAGGGUAAAGGCCUACCAAGGCUACGAUCCGUAACUGGUCUGAGAGGAUGAUCAGUCACACUGGAACUGAGACACGGUCCAGACUCCGUACGGGAGCAGCAGUGGGGAAUAUUGGACAAGUGGGCGAAAGCCUGAUCCAGCCAUCGCCGCGUGUGUGAAGAGGUCUUGGAUUGUAAGUCUACGUUUAAGUUGGGAGGAGGCAAUUAACCUAAUACGUUAGUUGUUUAGACGUUACGACUAGAAUAAGCAACCGGCUAACUC